GACGAACGCUGGCGGCGUGCUUAACACAUGCAAGUCGAACGGAAAGGCCCUGCUUUUGUGGGGUGCUCGAGUGGCGAACGGGUGAGUAACACGUGAGUAACCUGCCCUUGACUUUGGGAUAACUUCAGGAAACUGGGGCUAAUACCGGAUAGGAGCUCCUGCUGCAUGGUGGGGGUUGGAAAGUUUCGGCGGUUGGGGAUGGACUCGCGGCUUAUCAGCUUGUUGGUGGGGUAGUGGCUUACCAAGGCUUUGACGGGUAGCCGGCCUGAGAGGGUGACCGGCGACAUUGGGACUGCGAUACGGCCCAGACUCCUACGGGAGGCAGCAGUGGGGAAUAUUGCACAAUGGGCGGACGCCUGAUGCAGCAACGCCGCGUUCGGGAUGACGGCCUUCUGGUUGUAAACCGCUUUCGCCUGUGACGAAGCGUGAGUGACGGUAAUGGGUAAAGAAGCACCGGCUAACUACGUG
rnacentral:rRNA from 1 species